AGUGAACGCUGGCGGUAGGCCUAACACAUGCAAGUCGAACGGCAGCACAGUAAGAGCUUGCUCUUACGGGUGGCGAGUGGCGGACGGGUGAGGAAUACAUCGGAAUCUACUUUUUCGUGGGGGAUAACGUAGGGAAACUUACGCUAAUACAGCAUACGACCUACGGGUGAAAGCAGGGGAUCUUCGGACCUUGCGCGAUUGAAUGAGCCGAUGUCGGAUUAGCUAGUUGGCGGGGUAAAGGCCCACCAAGGCGACGAUCCGUAGCUGGUCUGAGAGGAUGGUCAGACACACUGGAACUGAGACACGGUCCAGACUCCUACGGGAGGCAGCAGUGGGGAAUAUUGGACAAUGGGCGCAAGCCUGAUCCAGCCAUACCGCGUGGGUGAAGAAGGCCUUCGGGUUGUAAAGCCCUUUUGUUGGGAAAGAAAAGCAGCAGGUUAAUACCCCGCUGUUCUGACGGUACCCAAAGAAUAAGCACCGGCUAACUUCGUG
rnacentral:rRNA from 1 species